rnacentral:lncRNA from 1 species
GACUUAUGAGAAAGAACACUAUCCACAUCCAGAGAAAGAUCUAAAAUGUUGAACUAAGAAGGAACUGAUUUAGGGUUAGAGGAACUGAACAGUCCCAGCUAUGAAUUUUACAAGAUACAACCAUGGAGAGAAGAAGCUCCAUGGUGACUCCAGAAAGAUGAGCUCCUUGAUCACAUAGCUUCAAAAUCCUCUGAAACAGGGCUACCCUUGCAACAAUGUGGAACGGGACAGUUCAUUCUCAAAUCAACAACUGGC